AAUGAACGUUGGCGGCGUGGAUUAGGCAUGCAAGUCGUGCGAUAACCCCGCAAGGGGGGAAAGCGGCGAAAGGGAGAGUAACGCGUGGGUACCUGCCCCUUGGUCCGGAAUAGCUGCGGGAAACUGCAGGUAAUGCCGGAUAAUAUCCUCGGGUCAAAGGUGUGAUUCCGCCGAGGGAGGGGCCCGCGUUCUAUUAGCUAGUUGGUAGGGUAAUGGCCUACCAAGGCGACGAUGGAUACCGGGUGUGAGAGCAUGACCCGGCUCACUGGGACUGAGACACUGCCCAGACGCCUACGGGUGGCUGCAGUCGAGAAUCUUCGGCAAUGGGCGCAAGCCUGACCGAGCGACGCCGCGUGCGGGAUGAGGGCCUUCGGGUUGUAAACCGCUGUCGUAGAGGAGGAAAUGCCAUGGGGUUCUCUCCAUGGUUUGACCUAUUCUAGGAGGAAGGACGGGCUAAGUUCGUGCCAGCCGCCGCAGUAA
rnacentral:rRNA from 1 species